CAAUAGCGUAUAUUAAAGUUGUUGCAGUUAAAAAGCUCGUAGUUGGAUUUCUGGUGGGAGCGAUCGGUCUGGCGCUUAGCGCGAGUACUUGCAUCGUCUCCGGCCAUCCUUGGGGAGAGUCUGUCUGGCAUUAGGUUGUCGGGCAGAGGAUCCUCAUCGUUUACUGUGAAAAAAUUAGAGUGUUCAAAGCAGGCUUAUGCCGUUGAAUAUAUUAGCAUGGAAUAAUAAGAUAGGACUUUGGUACUAUUUUGUUGGUUUGCGCACCAAAGUAAUGAUUAAUAGGGACAGUUGGGGGUAUUCGUAUUCCGUUGUAAGAGGUGAAAUUCUUGGAUUUACGGAAGACGAACUACUGCGAAAGCAUUUACCAAGGAUGUUUUCAUUAA
rnacentral:rRNA from 1 species